rnacentral:rRNA from 1 species
CCUACGGGAGGCAGCAGUAGGGAAUCUUCCGCAAUGGACGAAAGUCUGACGGAUCAACGCCGCGUGAGUGAUGAAGGCUUUCGGGUCGUAAAACUCUGUUGUUAGGGAAGAACAAGUACGAGAGUAACUGCUCGUACCUUGACGGUACCUAACCAGAAAGCCACGGCUAACUACGUGCCAGCAGCCGCGGUAAUACGUAGGUGGCAAGCGUUAUCCGGAAUUAUUGGGCGUAAAGCGCGCGCAGGCGGUUUCUUAAGUCUGAUGUGAAAGCCCACGGCUCAACCGUGGAGGGUCAUUGGAAACUGGGGAACUUGAGUGCAGAAGAGAAAAGCGGAAUUCCACGUGUAGCGGUGAAAUGCGUAGAGAUGUGGAGGAACACCAGUGGCGAAGGCGGCUUUUUGGUCUGUAACUGACGCUGAGGCGCGAAAGCGUGGGGAGCAAACAGGAUUAGAUACCCUGGUAGUCCACGCCGUAAACGAUGAGUGCUAAGUGUUAGAGGGUUUCCGCCCUUUAGUGCUGCAGCUAACGCAUUAAGCGCUCCGCCUGGGGAGUACGGGCGCAAGACUGAAACUCGCAGGAAUUGACGG